GCUUUCUAUAAGCUAUAUUGCUACUAUGGAAGAAAUGUACGGUUUACAAUCCACGGCGGAGUAUUCAGAUAAGGCCUUGAUGUCGCCGGAGAAUCUGAUUCUUCCGCCGGAUUAUCAGAGCCUUCUUGUGAGUUCUGGAGAGUUUCGCGAUCGGAUUCCGGUGUUUGGAUCCAACGAACUGCUUUCAGCGGCGGCAUCGGCGAUUUCAGAAGCGGAAGCAGCAUCGAUCACGCCGGAAAUUCGACGUGAAGAAGAUAUGGUGAACGUGAUCAAAGCGAAAAUUUCUUCUCAUCCCACUUAUCCUCGUUUGCUCGACGCCUAUAUUGACUGCCAAAAGGUAGGGGCGCCUCCGGAGAUUGCACAUUUGUUAGAGGGAAUCCGUCAAGAAAGCGACCUUUGUAACCGUCACGCUGUCACCACGUGCUUGGGCGUCGAUCCUGAGCUCGAUGAAUUCAUGGAAACAUACUGCGAUAUGUUGGUGAAGUACAAAUUAGAUCUCAA
rnacentral:misc_RNA from 1 species